AGUUACAGGUUCUCACGCCGACAACGGGUUUAAGAAACUGCGGUGGGUGUAAGAAGCUGCUGGAAAUGAGGAGUUACAGGUUCUCACCCGGACUAUGGGUUUAGGAAACUGCGGUGGGUGUAAGAAGCUGCUGGAAAUGAGGAGGUGAAGAUCUGGUAGAUCGUCCGUUUUUGGAAGAACUGGAUGGCAGCUCCCGAAGAAGCUCGCCACGCUCCUUGCUUGCUCGCUGGACGCCGGCACAGGGUCCCCAGUCCAACACUCCUCACUUGGCUUGUCCUUCCGAGAGCUCCCAGUUACACCAGCCUUUUAACUGGGGAUACUGGGAUGACAACGGGUGAUGCCACCAUCUCAAUAAAUACCUGAUU
rnacentral:lncRNA from 1 species